rnacentral:rRNA from 1 species
UAUAGAGGGGGCAAGCGUUGUUCGGAAUUACUGGGCGUAAAGGGCGCGUAGGCGGCCUGUUAAGUCGAACGUGAAAUCCCUGGGCUCAACCCAGGAACUGCGUCCGAUACUGGCAGGCUUGAAUCCGGGAGAGGGAUGUGGAAUUCCAGGUGUAGCGGUGAAAUGCGUAGAUAUCUGGAGGAACACCGGUGGCGAAGGCGGCAUCCUGGACCGGCAUUGACGCUGAGGCGCGAAAGCCAGGGGAGCAAACGGG